rnacentral:tRNA from 1 species
GGGGUUAUAGCUCAGUGGUAGAGCACAUGCUUAGCAUGCACGAGGUCCUGGGUUCAAGCCCCAGGGCCUCCA